GCUACAGUGGUGAUAAGUGUGAAAAACUGGCAUAAAACAUUUUUUUCAGUGCUGCUGUAACUUUGAACGGUUACUAAAUGAUCCAUUAUAAGUCAAGGACUACCUGUAAUGCUCCACCUCACCUGGAGCUUUAGCCUGCUUCUUCCAAGUAACAUCAGGAGUUGAAGGAAAAAUAAAACCACCUUCUUCCCAACAACCAGACAUUUUCCUCAGUUCCCAUUCAGUUCUGCACAGAAUUUUCCCUGUUUAAUUUCCAACCAAUCAGAAUAGUUGAUACUAGGCUGGAUGGACCAAUAACAAGAGCUGAAAUAAAGUACUUUCAUUUCCCCACAUUGCCAAUUUCACAUCCAUAAUAGCAAUAGCAUUUAGACUUGUAUACCGCUUCACAGGGCUUUACAGCCCUCUCUAAGCGGUUUACAGUAGGGGUGUCAAACUCAUGGCCUCCGGGGCGGAUGCGUCAUGUGCUGGCCCCGCCCCACCUGGUUUAGCAAAGGGGGGGGAGUUCCAAUACGUCACGUGACGCCACUGUGACAACGUGAGUUUGACACCCCUGGUUUACAGAAUCAGCAUAUUGCCCCCACAAUCUGGGUCCUCCAGAAAUAGGUAGAAAGUUUAUUCUUCUAGUGCUCGGGGGAAUUUAUUACUCUGAUCUCCUUUGCAUAUUUUAGGUGACCACGUCUAGGCUGCAUAAAUCCAGACAACAGCUAGAGGGCAGCAGAUACAUGCUGGAAACUCAAUUAUUGCUGCAGUCUAACUGCUGUCUGGAUUUACAGCCCAGUAAUUUGAUUGCAAAAUAAAUUUGAGGCCUUCCUGGCUGUAAUAGAAUCAAAAUAAGGGAUAUUGAUAGGCUUUUAAUUCAAGCACUGAAAUUUUCCCUGAUACAACAUUUCUAUGCUAUUAAAGAGAAAUGGAUUUGCUACCUUCACCAGCCUGAUCACUAUUGGGAUAUGAAACCCCACAGUUCUCAGCCAGCUCAACUGAAAAAUCCUGUGCUAGUUGAGGAAUCCAUAAAUUGCAGUCUAAUAAUCUAGACUGGAGGAAAUGGUGCUAAAGUUAUAAAACUGGAAUAUGAAAAAAAAAAGGAUUGGUAAUUUGCCUAACAGAGAGUAGAAGCUUCAUUUACCUUCAAGGUUGGAUACCCCUGAUUACCUUAAACUAGUGAGAAAACUAAUGCUUUUUUCUUUCCAGAAUAUUUCUAUAAUUCUGUCUAGACCCUUGGCAUUUUUUCAUUCUUGCCUUCAUUCCC